CCUUGAUAAUCAUACUCUUCGUCUAAAGAAAGAAGUCAGUAAUUAUUAUACUCUAUCGUAUGCUAAAAGAAAGCUGACUCCAGUUGUUUUUGUUCCCCUGCUUCUGACAGCUAUAUACAGCUGGGCUGAAAGAAUGACAGAUGUUCCAAUGUUGCAGAAUUAAAUGAAAGGGUCAGAUAAAGGACAAUGGAAAAGGCCUGGCUCACUACAUCUGACUGGAAUUCUGUGUUAUGUGUGUGCAGCUUCAUAUCCUACAGCAUCUCUGGAAGUUGAUCACUAAAUGGCUGUGAUAGUACUUUCCCAUCGGUGACACUGCAAUCUUCAUUCCAGUGGAGGCUAGAAGGAAGUAGAGGAAAUUGCUUCUGUCUCAUCUGUAAAGUAGCAUACACUAACCUAAUGCCAAAGAUAUGUGACCACCUGGAUUUCAAGCCUUUUUUUCUCUCAGGACUCUAUUUUUGACUGCUGUUACAUCUGGCAUCAAGUAUAACUAAACUGACCAUAAUUUUAUAUCUUCCAGAAUACCCCAACAUUGAUCUUGAAGCUUUGGAGAAGAAAAUAGUCACUGGCUAUCACUAAAAUGCUUAAGGAAAAAUUCUCUGUAACCCUACAGAUCCACAAGAGGUUUCUAAGAGUUCAAUGAGAAAUUAUGAAAAGCAUUUUUAACUGUAGAUAUAAUAAUCUCAAUGCAGGGAUUUUCUGAAAUUUGAACAUUAUUUCAAGGCUUCCUCCAAGUAAAAUAUUUGAGAACGUCUGUACUCAAGAAUUUCCAGAAAAUCAUAAGAAAACAUGAGUAAUUUUUUAAAAAAUUGAGAAGUUUUCUAAAUUUGGGAAAUAUUCUAUAUAUACUUACAAUCCUAAUAGCAGAAUGCUUCAAACACUUAAUAAUGAAGUCCCCCCCACCAAUGAAGUCGACUGAAUUGUACUUGGUGGUUGAUUGAUUUACUG
rnacentral:lncRNA from 11 species